rnacentral:rRNA from 1 species
AUACGUAGGUGACAAGCGUUAUCCGGAUUUACUGGGCGUAAAGGGCGUGUAGGCGGUCUUGCAAGUCAGAAGUGAAAUUCCUGAGCUCAACUCGGGCGCUGCUUCUGAAACUGCAGGACUUGAGUGCUGGAGGGGAUAGCGGAAUUCCUAGUGGAGCGGUAAAAUGCGCAGAUAUUAGGAAGAACACCGGUGGCGAAGGCGGCUAUCGGGACGGUAACUGACGCUGAGUCGCGAAAGCGGGGGGAGCAAACAGGAUUAGAUCCCCUGGUAGUCCACGCCGUAAACGAUGAAUGCUAGGUGUAGGGGGUAUCGACCCCUUCUGUGCCGCAGUCAACACAAUAAGCAUUCCGCCUGGGGAGUACGGCCGCAAGGUUGAAACUCAAAGGAAUUGACGGGG